rnacentral:rRNA from 1 species
AGAGUUUGAUCCUGGCUCAGAACGAACGCUGGCGGCGUGCUUAACACAUGCAAGUCGAACGAGAAUCGGAGCUUGCUCCGAGGAUAGUGGCGCACGGGUGAGUAACGCGUGGAUAACCUGCCCUGGUAUCUGGGAUAACAUCUCGAAAGGGGUGCUAAUACCGGAUAAGCCCACGGGAACUUUGGUUCUUGCGGGAAAAGGUGGCCUCUGAAUAUGCUACUGUAUCAGGAUGGGUCCGCGUACCAUUAGCUAGUUGGUGGUGUAAUGGACCACCAAGGCGACGAUGGUUAGCUGGUCUGAGAGGAUGAUCAGCCACACUGGAACUGAGACACGGUCCAGACUCCUACGGGAGGCAGCAGUGGGGAAUUUUGCGCAAUGGGGGAAACCCUGACGCAGCAACGCCGCGUGAGUGAUGAAGGCCUUCGGGUCGUAAAGCUCUGUCAGAGGGGAAGAAGUGUAUGGGUGCUAAUACCAUCUUUACUUGACGGUACCCUCAAAGGAAGCACCGGCUAACUCCGUGCCAGCAGCCGCGGUAAUACGGAGGGUGCAAGCGUUGUUCGGAUUUAUUGGGCGUAAAGCGCGUGUAGGCGGUUUUUUAAGUCUGAUGUGAAAGCCCUGGGCUCAACCCAGGAAGUGCAUUGGAAACUGGAAGACUUGAAUACGGGAGAGGGCAGUGGAAUUCCUAGUGUAGGAGUGAAUCCGUAGAUAUUAGAGACACCGUGCCGAAGCGCUGCCUGGACCCGUUAUGACGCUGAGACGCGAAAGCGUGGGUAGCAAACAGGAUUAGAUACCCUGGUAGUCCACGCCGUAAACGAUGAGUACUAGGUGUUGCGGGUAUUGACCCCUGCAGUGCCGCAGCUAACGCAUUAAGUUCUCCGCCUGGGAA